AUCUAUAGUAUUAACUUUUACAAAACGGGCAUUGUGAAACCAACCUCGAUGGAUGAAGGCCGAACCGUCUUGGACUCCACUCGGGCUCAGUAUAAAUACAUAAUACAAAACCUAGGGUUUAUCGUUUCCCUUCAUAUCUGAUCUUUCUAGGGUUUCAGAAAGGUAAACUGUAGCGAUGAGAGCUAAAUGGAAGAAGAAGCGCAUGAGGAGAUUAAAGAUGAAGCAUAGAAAGAUGAGGUAGAGAUCUAAGUAAUCGUCUCUCUACAGAUGUUGGUGGUUUUUCUCACUGCCAUUUGUGUCCUUCUUUAGGGUUCUAUUUAAGUUGUUACUUUUCAUUUCAUGUUUUACUUUUCACAUCAGUGCUAAUGAGACACAUGGAUUUUGUUGUUUCCUGAUGAUUUUUUAUUAUUCAUUUGGUAGAUUUGAUCUAA